rnacentral:tRNA from 3 species
GCCGGGAUAGCUCAGUUGGUAGAGCAGGGGAUUGAAAAUC